rfam:Wallemia sebi CBS 633.66 unplaced genomic scaffold WALSEscaffold_16, whole genome shotgun sequence.
AUCCUCUCUGGCCUUUUGGCUUAGAUCAAGUGUAGUAUCUGUUCUUCCAAGUUCGAACAACUUGGAUCACAUAAUUUAUGUGACUAAUGUUCGAUCUAAUUUUUAUCUGCGUCCAUUCGACCUCACUGCUUGCACAGGUUGAUUGGAAGAUGGCCUUGCGCUGCACUACUGCAUGUGCCGUCAGCGCUC